AUUGAACGCUGGCGGCAUGCUUUACACAUGCAAGUCGAACGGUAACAGGGUGCUUGCACCGCUGACGAGUGGCGAACGGGUGAGUAAUGCGUCGGAACGCACCGAGUAAUGGGGGAUAACGCAGCGAAAGCUGUGCUAAUACCGCAUACGCUCUGAGGAGGAAAGCGGGGGACCUUCGGGCCUCGCGUUAUUCGAGCGGCCGACGUCUGAUUAGCUAGUAGGUGAGGUAAGAGCUCACCUAGGCGACGAUCAGUAGCGGGUCUGAGAGGAUGAUCCGCCACACUGGGACUGAGACACGGCCCAGACUCCUACGGGAGGCAGCAGUGGGGAAUUUUGGACAAUGGGCGCAAGCCUGAUCCAGCCAUGCCGCGUGUCUGAAGAAGGCCUUCGGGUUGUAAAGGACUUUUGUCAGGGAGGAAAUCCUUAGCGCUAAUACCGUUGAGGGAUGACAGUACCUGAAGAAUAAGCACCAGCUAACUACGUGCCAGCAGCCGCAGUAAAAC
rnacentral:rRNA from 1 species